rnacentral:rRNA from 1 species
UACGGGGGGGGCGAAGCGUUGUUCGGAAUUACUGGGCGUAAAGAGCGUGUAGGCGGUCCGGUAAGUCAGCUGUGAAAGUCAAGGGCUCAACCCUUGAAUGCCGGUUGAUACUGUCGGGCUAGAGUCCGGAAGAGGCGAGUGGAAUUCCCGGUGUAGCGGUGAAAUGCGCAGAUAUCGGGAGGAACACCAAUGGCGAAGGCAGCUCGCUGGGACGGUACUGACGCUGAGACGCGAAAGCGUGGGGAGCAAACAGG